rnacentral:rRNA from 1 species
AGCGAACGCUGGCGGCAGGCUUAACACAUGCAAGUCGAACGGGCGUAGCAAUACGUCAGUGGCAGACGGGUGAGUAACGCGUGGGAACGUACCUUUUGGUUCGGAACAACCCAGGGAAACUUGGGCUAAUACCGGAUAAGCCCUUACGGGGAAAGAUUUAUCGCCGAAAGAUCGGCCCGCGUCUGAUUAGCUAGUUGGUGUGGUAACGGCGCACCAAGGCGACGAUCAGUAGCUGGUCUGAGAGGAUGAUCAGCCACAUUGGGACUGAGACACGGCCCAAACUCCUACGGGAGGCAGCAGGUGGGGAAUAUUGGACAAUGGGCGCAAGCCUGAUCCAGCCAUGCCGCGUGUGUGAAGAAGGUCUUC